CGUGGCCCAGUGAUAGCACGCCAGGCCCAAAAGUCAGAGAGUGUCGGUUCAAA
rnacentral:tRNA from 1 species